rnacentral:rRNA from 1 species
AAUGGGCGCAGCCUGAUACCAGCCCAUGCCGGUGUGUGAAGAAGGCCUUCGGGUUGUAAAGNACUUUUGUCCGGGAGCAAAUGCCCAGGUGCUAAUACCAUUGGCGGCUGAGAGUACCGGAAGAAUAAGCACCGUCUAACUAC